UAAAACCACACCCACUCUGUGCCU
rnacentral:piRNA from 1 species